UCCCCACAGCACCCGUACCCCUCAGAGGAACAGAAAAAGCAGCUAGCACAAGACACAGGCCUCACCAUCCUUCAAGUGAACAACUGGUUUAUCAACGCAAGGAGGAGAAUAGUCCAACCUAUGAUCGACCAGUCCAACAGAACAGUGAGUCAGGGUAACGCCUACAGUCCAGAUGGCCAGCCAAUGGGAGGCUUUGUUCUUGAUGGGCAGCAGCACAUGGGUCUCAGACCUGGAGGGCCGAUAGGUGGCAUGGGUAUGAACAUGGGCAUGGAUGGACAGUGGCACUACAUGUAAAUCCACUCGACUGAGGCACGCCUGAACAACAGGGUGAAGCCUCCAUGGGGCUCAGGGAUCUUCUUCCGCCGGGCUGUGGAGCUCAGUACCGGAGCUGCCUCUGCACGUCAACCCCACCUGACCUACACCUCCCCCACCUCCACCUUAACCUGCACGGUGCUUGCGCAGAGGAUCACCAUGGAAACGCCAAACCUGCGCACGAGGCCGCCCAAAGACUUUGACUUUCCCCCUGAACUGGGGGGCUUUUACGGGACAAGAGAAAGGACUUCAGUGAAGCAGUGUGACACAUCUCCAUUCCCUUUUAAAUUAUUUAUUUAUUUUUCUACAACGGCGGACCACGGGGACUUUUCUUUCUCUUUUUCCUAUUUUUUAGGUAAAGCUUUACCCCUAAAUAGCCUACCCCCUUCCAAAUAAACAUUGUACAUAGAAACACACCUCUCCUUUAAAGGACAAAACACAAAAAACACUGUGAAUAUCUUUUUUUAAAUAUGACUAUUCGGUGAGAGUUUUAAUUGUUGUGCUGUAUAGUUGUGUGUUUAUUUGGCUGUUUCCAUCCAUGUUUGCGCUUGUGAUCAUAGUGAGCUUUCACCAAUGACGUGUUGUUUUUUAUUCUAACAUCAAUUAAGAUUUUUAAAGGAAGCCAUCUCUGUUUCCGUGCACUGCAUCUCUUUCUUCUGUUUGAUUCUCCUUGUG